AUGGCACCAGGGCCCCACCUCGGCCAAGUUUAUCAGAAAUCCCACGUGGCCAAGAACAGCCGCCGCAUCCACCAAUCCUGCCCGAUCCCGUCUGGCCCCAUCACAUCACCAGAGCCCGAGACGAAACCCCGAGAGAGAUCGAUCCAGGCCGGAGUAACGCGGCGGCGACUGGACUCCUCUCGGCGGCGAGACAACCAGCCACUGAUUGGUUCAAUCUUUUUGUCGGAGCCGAUUGUCCGGACGGGCGAAAAGGGGAUCGGCCGGCGGAGCGAUAAUCUAGAUUAUCCGUCAGUCAGCCAGAAAAGGCUCCGGCUUUAA
rnacentral:rRNA from 1 species